rnacentral:rRNA from 1 species
AUGCAGUCGACGGACCAUGAUGGCUUUUGUUGUUGUGGUUAGUGGCGAACGGGUGAGUAACACGUGAGUAACCUGCCCUCUUCUUUGGGAUAACUGCCUGAAGGGUGGCUAAUACUGAUUAUUCUGCUGAUUCCGCAUGGUUUUGGUUGGAAAGAUUUUUUGGUGGGGGAUGGGCUCGCGGCUUAUCAGCUUGUUGGUGGGGUAAUGGCUUACCAAGGCAUUGACGGGUAACCGGCCUGAGAGGGUGACCGGUCACAUUGGGACUGAGAUACGGCCCAGACUCCUACGGGAGGCAGCAGUGGGGAAUAUUGCACAAUGGACGCAAGUCUGAUGCAGCGACGCCGCGUGAGGGAUGAAGGCCUUCGGGUUGUAAACCUUUUUCGCUUUUUGACCAGGCAUCACUUUUUGUUG